AAAAGACUCUGAAGUUGGGGGUGGGUUGGGGGGAAGAGUAAAUGUGCAAGAAACUUGAUUUUCCUCAGAUUCCAUUGGAUAUCUGUGAUAGAAGAUGCACUUAAAAGGCAGGUUUUCAUUAGUGAUUGAUGUUACAUGUGGCAUUAGUGCUGUAUGUUAAGCAAGAGAUGUCAUGUGAUUGGCCCAAUUGACAGUCUGUGUUUGAAACUGGGAGCAUGAGAUUCCCCGUAAGUGGAUAAUCUCACACAUUUAUGUCUCUUUUUGGUUCAAUUUACGGAAAAGAAUUUCUAGCUUUGGGAGAAGUUUAUCUUCAAUUUAAUAAGAUAGCUGAUUUCAUUCACCUUUCCUGGAGUAUUUCUUUAUAAGAGAAACAGAGCAAGUUUGGGUCCUGGGUCCUAAAAUCUAAGGUUAGAUUCUUUGAUUCCUCCAGCCCUACAAAGAACAAAAAGAAUCUGCCAAAAACACUACACCCUACUCAGAAAAUUAAUAAAAUGAAGAGAGAGAAAUUAAAAAGAAAGGAAGACCCAUUUGGUUUUCCUUUCAGUCACCAUAAAGAAAUAUCUAUUAUAGCAUUUCCCAUCAAACAUAUUUAAUUUUCCUCAAAGCUUCUCAGAGUGUUAGGAAAGUUGCACCCAUUAUUCAUCAUGGUGGGGCUACCUAACUCAUGAAGGAAUCAAGCAGAGAGAGGGGGGGUAAACAGCAAGAUAAAAACGAACCAUACACUUUUCCUCUUUUCUCUCCUUUUGAGAGACCCAAAAUGAACUGUGUUGCUUUCUCUGUUUUUCCUGCAUCAUGGAUUCUUUCCCAUCCCCUUUCAAGUCAAAGAAGAAAGAAGGAAAAUUUAAUAAAGAAAAGUUAGAAUGAAAUGGUGGUGGGUGAAAGGAAGAGCCACAGCUCAUGGGCAUAUAUUCCCCUUCCAACAUAACCCUGGUCAUAUUUCCAGAUAUGGAGUGAGAACAUAGGACACCCAACAACUCUAAAAUUAUAAAGAGAAGGACACUGCUCCCCCUAAUUUUUAUGUUUCUCUCUUCUACUUGCCCUUCCAUCAACAAAUCCAACAAAUGGGUCUCCAAAAUUUGCAAAAUCAAAACAUGAACCUGGUUUUGUCCACUGAUCCAAAACCUAGGCUUAAAUGGACUUCAGAGCUACAUCAAAGGUUUGUUGAAGCUGUCAAGCAACUUGGAGGGGCAGACAGUUAAGUGUCUACAUAUGCAUUAAAAUUAUUUUUCCGCUCUAAUUGCAAAAUCUAAUCUUUUGCAUAAUUGUCUAUGGGCAGAGGCAACACCAAAGAGUCUGAUGCGGGUGAUGGGAAUUCCUGGACUUACUUUGUACCACCUCAAGAGCCAUUUGCAGAAGUAUAGGCUGGGUAAGAGUCAGCCAUCACAGCCACAGUCAUCUCAGCUUCAGUCUCAGUCACAGUCUCAGUCUCAGGCCAGCACUGAGAAUAAGAAAGAAGGUGAGUUAUGAACAAUGAGUUAGAUUAAGAAGCUGCAUGAAUUAUUGUUGUUUUUUCUCAUUUGUGUUGUUGUUUAUAGUUCUCUUUGAUGCAGAUUUUAAAGAGAUCCAGAGUAGUAAUCAUGAUCUAAGAGCAGGAAUCACUGAGGGAAAUCCAAAUCCAAUCAAUGAGUAAUAGUCAGAAAUAAUAUCUAUUUUCUUGUAGAUGAAUUUGGAUUGAUAUGAUCAGAUUUUUUUUUUAACCUUUAAUUUUUACUUAUUCAAAGUGCUGUGUUCAACAGAAGCUUUCAGAUUGCUCAGGUUCUCCAAAUGCAAAUGGAAGUGCAGAGGAAGCUUCAUGAACAGAUUGAGGUGCAGAGACGUUUACAAGUGAGAAUAGAAGCUCAAGGGAAGUACUUACAAUCAGUAUUAAAAAAGGCAAAGGAAACACUUUCUGGUUACGAUUCUUCUUCAAUGGGAAUAGAAAUUGCAAAAGCUGAACUGUCUCGAUUAGUCUCAAUGGUUAACAAUGAAUAUCUAAGCUCUUCAAUCUCAGAAUUGACAGAAAUAGGAGGUUCAAGCUUAAAAGACACUGAGAGGAAACAAAUGAGAGGCACAGUUUGUUCAAUGGAAAGCUCCUUGACAUCAUCUGAGAGCUCUGGGAGAAAAGAAGAUGAGGAACAAAAGAACAAGUUGGGUGACACCUACAAGUUCAAUCCUGAUUCCAUUGAGCUUCCUUUAAUGGAUAUUCACCCUCAAGAAAAGCCAUGGAAUAAUCACGUAAGUGAUCAAGCAAAGAAGAGAAGUUGCAGCACAAUUUCUGAUGGCAUCUGUGUAGAGCAGCCACUGGCAAAAAGAUCAAAAAGUGAUAACAAAUUGAGAAAUUUUGAUCUCAAUAGCCGUUGUCAGAAUGACUUUGAAUCAGAUUCAAAACCAAUAGACCUGAAUUGCAAGGGAAUUGAACAAGUGAAUGGGCAACUCUAGAGUUUUGGGAAGCAUUAUACUGGAAGGGUUUUAGUCAUUAUACUGGAAGGGUUUUAGUAAUAUAGUUUAUGCAGUAGCAAAGUUGAUAAGAGUUAAAUCUUUGUUUAUAAACUAUGUAUAUUGGUGGUAUAUGUAUGGACCCAUGAUGUAGGACAAGCUCUGAUACCAAAAUGAUGUAGAGCCAAUAGUCCCCUGCAACAUUUCAAAACAUGGUAUAAUAUAUUGUGGAUACAUCUCUAUCUAGCUUUUCUCCCUGUCUCCAGCAGCAUGUUAUGUUUGAAAAUUGAAAUGCUUACAGUGGUCAUAGGGAGUUCCAAAUGUUGCUGUAGAACCCUAAAAUCCUAUUUUGGGUAAAAAUAGUUUGGUUGUCGUCAAUUAAGGAAUAUUUUAUAGAUUAAAUUAUAUUGAUAUA
rnacentral:misc_RNA from 1 species